rnacentral:misc_RNA from 1 species
UGCAAUGAGUUAAAACUGUUCUACCUAUUUAUUAUUAUUAUAUCCUCAUUUGGAAUCACUAAUAAUUAAAACAAAUUUCUUCUUAACAGUUAUAUGAAAAUAUCAAAAAUCAUACUGUUGGUAUAGUGUACCCAAUUGCUCGGUUGAUACCAUGCAUUAUAAAACACUGUAUCUCUCAUAUAUAUAUUUUUUGACGAGAGAAACAGUCAUUCUAGUAACACCGCCGAGAACUGCUGCGGCACCAACCAUUGCGUAUAGUCCAGGAGUUAUACAAUCGACACCAGUUGAACAUGCUUCACUAAAUAUCCAAAUAUGUGGAUAAUUAUACGCUAGUUGCUCCAUUCCAAUCCCCACAAUACGGCCCAUUAUCGCUCCCAAACAAAGUGAUGGAAUAAAUAAUCCGCAAGGUACUUUCAUACCGAACGUAAAUAUUGUCAUAACAAGUUUUAGAAUUAAUGCUAAGACGAGAAGCCAUAUCGCCUUAUAAACUCCGGGGCCAGCUGCUGCAACUUCAAUCGCUGAUUUUACAGCAGUAAAGUUUCUAUUAUAAUCACUAUAUAAACAAAAAGAGAAAUUUACUAUAUUUUAAAACUAAUGUUAAUUUUAAAAAUAAGAGAGGGAAUUUCUACCAUAAAAUGUCUGCGUUUGAUACUCCACAUUGUCUAAAUAAUAAAUAAAUGAGUUGACUUGUACUCAUUCGUGUAUAUGGAUUUGGAUAUCCAAUAACAGCAGUUGCAACCGUUACGAUUAGAACUUCGGUAACUGGAUACUGGCCCAAUUUUGAAGUUUUACGAUAACGACACCAAAACAGAUUUGCUUUAAUAAACAAAGUAGCAAUCACGCCCUAUUGAAAGAAAGAGAAAGGGAAAAGGGUAAUUUAACAAUCUUUUAACCAUAGAAGAAAAUUUACAGAAAGAUAAACUUACACCAAUUAUUCCAAGCAUGACGAAGGGUAUUAGCUCAAAAAAUAUCCAAGGCUUAUUAUAUUCAACAUAAAAAAGCACAGAAUGCUCGUUGCCAAAUGGAUUUAUAGAUCGUAAAAUAAAAGCAGCUAUCAAGGCACAGAAAAAUGAUCUCCACAAAGUUUUUAGUGGAAAGUAAUAGCUCACCUGAAAAAU